UACUAUUAAAAUAAUCUGCAUAUGCAAUGAUAGUAGAAACCAAAAGUAUUCCAUGAAUGGGUGUCUGGAGGGAAGCACUCCUGGGGAACAUCAGUAGAUAACUGAAUUCUAGAACAGCCAUCAUUUUGAUAUCAUGAGCUGCAGUAAAAGUUACACAGUGGUACACAGCUGGGCUUUCUUUGUGGUGCCACUGAGGAAGACCCACCAGGUUGCCUCUUUGCUGAGGACUAGGCUGACAGAGGCUAGGACUGGACCAGCUUCCUUGCUGAAUGCAGUGUGUCUCGCAGAAGAAGGAAACUCCCUGCCCAGCCUCUUGUUCCUGCCACCUGUUCUUCUCCAGUACCCAUCAGAAGCAAGAAUAGAGCAAUGGGGGCCCAGGGAAAUGUAAGCAGUGGAUGCUGAAAGCUGAGACAUGAAAGGCAGAUGCAAACUAGGUGCUGACUUCACUGAUCUCAAGGGGACCAUCGGCCAUAGAAACAUACUUAUUACAGUCAGGUUUUUCCUCCGUGUGUGUCCUCAUCGUCCUGCCUGCGCCUGCUGCAGUGCAGCCCCAGCCCCAGCAACGACGCUUUCCUCCACGACGGCGACCGUGCCACCACGUGCAGGCGAACAGAGGAGGACGGACGGACGCACCGCACGCAUGCGCAGCACGACUCAGCACGCCGGCCGAGUCGCACGUGCGUGCGUCACUGACUAGAGACCCUCUGGCUGGCAAGCCACUAGAGGGCCUCUUUCUGGCUGUUCCAGACUAAGUGAGCGACGGAGCAAGCGAGCCUCAGCCAAGGGCAGGCGCAGUGAGCAGCAUGAAAGUUGCCCGCCACGGCACCCACCGCCAAGCCAGGCCACUGACUGGCCACAAGCAAAGCAAUGGGGGGCACAGGCAGGCAGGCGCAGUGAGCAGCAUUAAAGGCGCCCACCGCGGUGCCUGCCGCCGCCAAGCCAGGCCACUGACUGGCCGCCAGCAAAGCAAUGGGGGGGCGGAAGGGACCGCUCGUGGGGGAGGGGGUGCCGACACGCUCCCUUGAAUGCUGCAGCGCUGCUGCACUGAGCAGGAGAAAUGUGUAUUUUUAAAAAAAUAAAUAAAUUUAGAUUUUUUUUGGUCAUGGCAGCGCCCCCCACGUGACCCGAAAAGAUGGCGCCCGGGGCACGUGCCCCCCCUGCCCCCCUAUAGUUACGCCUCUGGGGGGAUCCCACCCUGCCUUAGAACCCCCUCCAUUGCUCUUCAAGUUUUAAAGAGUUGAAGUUAUGUCUGGAGGGGGAGGGCAACUCAGGUGUCUUCUCUAGAGUAGUGGAUCCAGAAAGAGUGGACUCACCAGUUAUACAGACUCUCAGAUGAUACCAGACUUUUGCUAGUUCAAGCACUUCCUUUAGAACUUGUGCCUCCGCCCUGCCCUGCUUGACCUGGGUUUGGACACUGGCUGAUGCAUUCUGGCAUUAUAUACAGAAUCCCACAAACUAAUCACUAAAAUAAUGCAGGUAGGUGAGCCAAUCGAGAUGAGGGGAUUCAAUCAGUUCUGGGUAGGGUUGAACUUCCCUUGAAAGAGCAGGUUCACAGUUUGGGGGUAUUGCUGAGCCCGGCUCUGCUUUUGGAAGUUCAGGUGGAGGUGGAGGCCAGGGUUGCCUUUGCACAGCUUUGGCUACUGCGCCAGCUGCAUUUCUAAAGAAGGCAGAUCUGGCCACUGUUACACCUUUGUCAGAUCACAGCUGGAUUACUGUAACAUGCUCUAUCUGGGGCUGACCUUGAAGAAUAUUUGGAAACUGCGAGUAGUGCAAAAUGUGGCAGCUAGGAUUUUAUCCGGACCUGCCCAUAAGGAUCAUAUUACUCCCAGUUUGAAAAACCUACACUGGAUGCCAAUUUGUUUCUGGGUCCAAUUCAAGGUCCUGCUUUUGACCUUUAUAGCCCUUAAUGGUUGGGCCCUGGAUACCUGAGGGAUUGCCUGCUUUCAAGGGUUUCUGCCCGGUUGACAAGGUCAUCAGAGGGGCUCUGCUCUGCAUGCCGACAAUGAGGGAGUGCUGUAAAUCUGUUAGCUCGGCUCACCCAACAGGAUUUACAACCCCCUUCAGCACUCCCCCUGUGAGUUAAUAGAAAGCAGCAGCGAAGCUACACGAAGGAAAAUAAAAGGCUCACAAAGAAAAUAGUAAAUGAAUUAAGUCCCCCUGAACAGUACCCCACUCUAACGAUAAUAAUAGUAAUAAUUAAUUAAAGAUAGUAAUAAUUAAUUAUAAUUAAUUAAAGAUAGUAAUAACUGAAAAGAAAACACAGAGCGAAGAAUGAAAGAGCAAAGGACACCAGAAACAAGGAAUUAAUGGAACAAAGCAGGAAAGCAUAAACAAGGGCAAACUGGAAUACGGAAAAGUCAGGAAUUCAGAAUAGUACAUGGUGGACUGCGGUCAGCAACAUUGCUAACAGCAUCUGAGCAAUUGACAAAUAUAUAUGGUUCAAGAGAACCAGCAGCCAAUCAGGCUUCCCUGAGUCAGCACUUCUGCUCCCUCUUUUGUUAUCUCCUGCGCCUGCAUGACUCCCACUGAGCCUGCCUCUUGAGAUGUCUUCUCAAGACAGGUGAAAUCCCAGGCUCCUCCUCCUCAGAAAUCAUGUCUGGCAGCUGUUCCGAGUCCUCAGCUCCAGAGUCUGGUCUCCCUGCCAAAUCCUGUUGCUGUGCCUCUGAGCCCUCACUAGCAGGCGAAUCCUCCUGCUCUGACUCUUCUGAGUCAGAAGUCUGAGCCAUGACAGGGAGGCUCGGCUGUCGUGCAUGUGGGACAGGGCCUUCUCAGUUAUUGCUCUCAGACUUUGGAAUUCUCUCCCAGAGCUUUUUCAGACGGUGACUUUACUUCUACUUUACUUUAGGAAAGUGAGUGUACGUUCACAUAUCAGCCAGAUUUACCCUGAAGUCCAUGCAAUAUUUCAGAGAGUGCUUCACACAAGAUUCGGGUUUCCCCUUCCAUAUUGGGAACCUAACCCGAUUUAUUUCCAGGGUAAAAAAAUCCUCUUUUUGCACCAUAGUAUCCAUUAUGCCCCAAACUCAGAGUAAAGCCUUGCAGAAAACCCACGGUAAAGCCUGCUGUCUGAAAAACCUCCUGGGCACUUUCCAGACUAGCUGCUCAACAGCAGCAAAAUGCCUCCAUUCAGGCUAGUGGCAUUGAAAACAUAAACAGUAGGGGGAGCAGUCUUGGAGCAACUAAUAACCCAAAAAACCAGGAACUUCCUUAUGCUGGAUAUACAAUGUCCUAGCUCUAUAUUGCAGCGAUUAAAUUCAAGACAAGGCAUUGGCAAUGUGAACAGCAUGCCCUGGUGGACAUCUGCUCCUCAGUCUCCAUCACAGUUUUUAGAAAGCAAGUGAAAUCUUGGCUUUUUACCCAGGCUUAUAUAUGAGUGUUGUUUUUGUUGCUGCUGCUUUGUAUUUUAUGGCUAUAUUGUGCAUGUUUUUAAAAUGUUUAAUGAGAUUUGUAUUUUCAUAUUCCAAUUUAAUAUUUGUAUUGUGUAACUUUUAUUGUUUUGUAAGAUGCCUUGAGAUUGUUUUAAUAAAAGGCAGUAUACAAAUUUAAUGAUAAAUACAUAAAUAAAAUGCA